rnacentral:tRNA from 1 species
GGAAGGGCUUCGUGCCCGGUGGUGCGGCCGGUCUUCAAAACCGGUUGGGGCCGUCAGGCGGUCCCGGGUGGGUUCGACUCCCGCGCCCUUCC